CAAUAGCGUAUAUUAAAGUUGUUGCAGUUAAAAAGCUCGUAGUUGAAUUUUUGCUUGCCGCCGAUGUCGGAACUUCCGUACGUUCGGCGGCGUGCAUCCUUGGGUGGAACCUGUGUGGCAUUAGGUUGUCGUGCAGGGGAUGCUCAUCGUUUACUGUGAAAAAAUUAGAGUGUUCAAAGCAGGCUUACGCCGUUGAAUAUACUAGCAUGGAAUAAUAAGAUAGGACCUUGGUACUAUUUUGUUGGUUUGCGCACCGAGGUAAUGAUUAACAGGGACAGUUGGGGGUAUUCGUAUUCCAUUGUCAGAGGUGAAAUUCUUGGAUUUCUGGAAGACGAACUACUGCGAAAGCAUUUACCAAGGAUGUUUNCAUUAA
rnacentral:rRNA from 1 species